rnacentral:sRNA from 12 species
GUCAAUAACCCACGACUAAAGUCGCAGGCUUGCAAAAGCCUUUGUUGACUAGCUUAAGUUCUUCGAGAACUACGUUAUGUGAGAAUAUAUAGUUACCUGUGGAUGUACAGCCUAGUCUGCAGCUCUAAG